rnacentral:pre_miRNA from 1 species
AAAGUACUCCCUUCGUCCCAAAAUUCUUGUCUUAGAUUUGUCUAGAUACAGAUGUAUCAAGUCACAUUUUAGUAUUAGAUACAUCCGUAUCUAGACAAAUCUAAGACAAGAAAUUUGGGACAGAGGGAGUAGUUG